CGGCGGACGGGUGAGUAACACGUGGGUAACCUACCUAUAAGACUGGGACAACUUCGGGAAACCGGAGCUAAUACCGGAUAAGAUAUCGAACCGCAUGGUUCGAUAGUGAAAGAUGGUUUUGCUAUCACUAUAGAUGGACCCGCGCCGUAUUAGCUAGUUGGUGAGGUAACGGCUCACCAAGGCAACGAUACGUAGCCGACCUGAGAGGGUGAUCGGCCACACUGGAACUGAGACACGGUCCAGACUCCUACGGGAGGCAGCAGC
rnacentral:rRNA from 1 species